CAUUCGAUAGCUCAGCUGGUAGAGUGGAGGACUGGAGAUCCUUAGGUCGCUGGUUCAACUCCGGCUCGAAGGA
rnacentral:tRNA from 1 species